UGAGUUUGAACCUGGCUCAGGACGAACGCUGGCGGCGUGCUUAACACAUGCAAGUCGAGCGGAAAGGCCCUUCGGGGUACUCGAGCGGCGAACGGGUGAGUAACACGUGAGCAACCUGCCCCAAGCUUUGGGAUAACCCCGGGAAACCGGGGCUAAUACCGAAUAGGACUUCCGGCCGCAUGGCUGGGGGUGGAAAGUUUUUCGGCUUGGGAUGGGCUCGCGGCCUAUCAGCUUGUUGGUGGGGUGAUGGCCUACCAAGGCGACGACGGGUAGCCGGCCUGAGAGGGCGACCGGCCACACUGGGACUGAGACACGGCCCAGACUCCUACGGGAGGCAGCAGUGGGGAAUAUUGCACAAUGGGCGGAAGCCUGAUGCAGCGACGCCGCGUGAGGGAUGACGGCCUUCGGGUUGUAAACCUCUUUCAGCAGGGACGAAGCGAGAGUGACGGUACCUGCAG
rnacentral:rRNA from 1 species